rnacentral:misc_RNA from 1 species
AGGAGAGGCUGGUGGGAGCUGGGGGAGUGAGACUAGAACAAAGAAUACAUAGGAAAGAGAGCAAAUUCACAAAAAUGAGGAGAAAAUAGCAACAUUUAUACAUUCUGUAUCCAGGAAACUAAAUUCAGAGUCUGAAAGGAACAACUUUCUAUAUGUAGGAGCCAAAUACGUGCCAAUUCAAAACCAAAUGAAUGAGGAAAAUGAACAUUGACAAGGAGCUG